ensembl:lncRNA
CCACUAUUAGCAUAAACAUAUACCCAUGUAUAUAUAUUCUCUAAAUCAGCUAUGUCUUAAAUCAGCUACCUUGACUGGCUCCAGCGUGUCUCAACAGAACUGGACAAGCUCCAAACCCUGGUGCAUGCCAUUCCUUCUUUGGAAACCCUCCUGACCUUCUCCUGACUGGCUUCCUCUACUUCCUUGUCUUCUUCCUGCUCUUCUUUCCCCUUAUCCAGGAAGUUGCCAAGUUUUUAGCUAAUCGGGUCAAGCAUAGAAUGUGAAGUCCUGUUCCGGCCCCUGGAAACUGGACACAGCAGUAGGGCGAUUACGUCAGGUUAUGAAAGUUAUAAAUGUCCCUGUCUCCUUUGCUCAGGUGUGCUGUCGUGGCCAGACUGCCUGCGAAGUCAGGCAGUCUCGUGGCCUUCCUGCAGGAAGUGAACUAGCCUUGCUGAGUGAUCCAUUGUCUCGGCGUGGGUUUUUCCCAGAUGUUAUAAACCGGUUUCCAACGAAUCUGGGGACUUGUCCGGGAUUCUGUUUUUCCUCUGGGGCAGUCCUUGGUCCUCUCUUGUAGGGAGGUGCCCCACCACUCUAUUGCAUUGGCCCCGGGGAGAGAUCCAGGACUUACUCGGUGUGAGGAACAAACCUAGAUUCUCAGCAGGGGAAAGAGAUUUCAAACCGCGGCAGCCAGGGGCCUUGACCAGGCAACAUCGUGCACGAGCCAAGAUGCAAACACUUGUUCAGCACACAUGGCUGGGCAGAGGUGGAGCCAGAACCCCAGGCAGAUUGCCUGCUCCCAAGCCAGGCUCUUCGAUACCAAGAGAAGAAGAGAUGCAGUGCCAAGGGGGAAGACUCUGUGCACAUCCUAGAAGUGCCCAGCUGCCUUCUUAUUGUAACCCCAGUGACCAUAUCUGGGUUUACAUGCCUGUUUCUAGACCAGUCACAGGCAAACCAGAAUGGAAUGCUCUACAGGCUGCCUUGGGAAAAGUGUGAUGUGCUCUUCACGGGAACAGCAGUGAGUCUAUCGUGUCCAUUAAGAGAAGGGGCUCUGAAGCCUGAUGACCACAGUUCAAAUCCUGGCUCUAUCAUUCCUGAGUUAUAUAACCCUUGCCAAGGAGCUUAACUUUUUGUUCCUCAGUUUUGCCAUCUGUAGAAUGGUGAUAAUGAUACUUCCCAGGUUGACAUAACGAUUAAAUGUUUAAUGUACAAAAGGUGCUUAACACAGUACUUGGCUCGCAGCAAAGGUUAACUACUGAUCAUCUAUUGUAUAUUUCAAAGUAGCUAGAAGAUAGCAAUUCAAAUGUUUCUAGCAUGAAGAAAAGACAACAAUUUAAGGCAAUGUAAAUCCUGAAGAUAAUGAUUUGAUCUUUACAAGUUAUUCAAAUGUGUUAAAUGAUCACAUGUAUCCCCAAUGUAUGUACAACUAUUAUGUAUUAAUAAAAAAAUUUAACAAAAUUAAAAAAACAAUCCUCAAGACUGAGCAAUUCCUUGUCUGAAUAAAAUCAGGAAAAGGUCCUAGAUGUUGGGUGGGCAACUCCAGUGUCCGCCACACAUGGUCACCCUCCAGUUCACAGACAAGUAAACAAGCAAU